rnacentral:lncRNA from 1 species
CAGAAGCUGUGGCUGAUUUGUGGCUGUCUAGAAGGGUGUUUGAAUUGAAGACAGUGGCAUCUUUUGCUAAUUACUAAAUAAGUACAUUUCCAGAUCUCUUCAAUUAAAGGAACACUUAAUUUGGCAUUUCCAUGUGGAGCUCCUUCCCCCACCCCCACCCACAAAUGUGAGGACAUUUUUGCAAAGGAGCAGCUCUGUGGAUUGGAACCAAUGUGUACCAGUGCUUGAAAGGUGCGAGGCAUCAUACCAAACUUGAAGAGAAGCAGUGCUGAACACGAGAGUAAUAUCUGCAGUCAAGGGGUCCCAGCCUUGGCUCCUUGAGACUACCCUGCACUUGGUUGGUGCUGUGACUUCGGCUUCAUGUUCCUACAUCACCAUCUUUUCCUUGCCAGAACCCUG